rnacentral:rRNA from 1 species
AAAUUGAAGAGUUUGAUCAUGGCUCAGAUUGAACGCUGGCGGCAGGCCUAACACAUGCAAGUCGAACGGUAACAGGAAGCAGCUUGCUGCUUCGCUGACGAGUGGCGGACGGGUGAGUAAUGUCUGGGAAACUGCCUGAUGGAGGGGGAUAACUACUGGAAACGGUGGCUAAUACCGCAUAACGUCGCAAGACCAAAGAGGGGGACCUUCGGGCCUCUUGCCAUCAGAUGUGCCCAGAUGGGAUUAGCUUGUUGGUGAGGUAACGGCUCACCAAGGCGACGAUCCCUAGCUGGUCUGAGAGGAUGACCAGCCACACUGGAACUGAGACACGGUCCAGACUCCUACGGGAGGCAGCAGUGGGGAAUAUUGCACAAUGGGCGCAAGCCUGAUGCAGCCAUGCCGCGUGUAUGAAGAAGGCCUUAGGGUUGUAAAGUACUUUCAGCGGGGAGGAAGGUGUUGCGGUUAAUAACCGCAGCAAUUGACGUUACCCGCAGAAGAAGCACCGGCUAACUCCGUGCCAGCAGCCGCGGUAAUACGGAGGGUGCAAGCGUUAAUCGGAAUUACUGGGCGUAAAGCGCACGCAGGCGGUCUGUCAAGUCGGAUGUGAAAUCCCCGGGCUCAACCUGGGAACUGCAUUCGAAACUGGCAGGCUUGAGUCUUGUAGAGGGGGGUAGAAUUCCAGGUGUAGCGGUGAAAUGCGUAGAGAUCUGGAGGAAUACCGGUGGCGAAGGCGGCCCCCUGGACAAAGACUGACGCUCAGGUGCGAAAGCGUGGGGAGCAAACAGGAUUAGAUACCCUGGUAGUCCACGCCGUAAACGAUGUCUACUUGGAGGUUGUGCCCUUGAGGCGUGGCUUCCGGAGCUAACGCGUUAAGUAGACCGCCUGGGGAGUACGGCCGCAAGGUUAAAACUCAAAUGAAUUGACGGGGGCCCGCACAAGCGGUGGAGCAUGUGGUUUAAUUCGAUGCAACGCGAAGAACCUUACCUGGUCUUGACAUCCACAGAAGAAUCCAGAGAUGGAUUUGUGCCUUCGGGAACUGUGAGACAGG